GACGAACGCUGGCGGCGUGCUUAACACAUGCAAGUCGAACGGAAAGGCCCUGCUUUUGUGGGGUGCUCGAGUGGCGAACGGGUGAGUAACACGUGAGUAACCUGCCCUUGACUGUGGGAUAACUUCAGGAAACUGGGGCUAAUACCGGAUAGGAGCUCCUGCUGCAUGUGGGGGGUUGGUAAGUUUCGGCUGUGGUGGAUGGACUCGCGGCUUAUCAGCUUGUUGGUGUGGUAGUGGCUUACCAAGGCUUUGACGGAUAGCCGGCCUGGGAGGGUUGACGGGGACCAUGGGACUGCGGUACGGACCAGAAUCGUACCGGAGGCAACAGGGGGGAAUCUUGCGCAGUGGGGGGAAGCCUGAUGCAACAAUGCUGGGUGCGGGAAGACCGCCUUUGGGGUGAAAACCGAUUUCGCAUGUGACGAAGAGUGAGUGACGGUAAUGGGUAAAGAAGCAACGGCUAACUACGUG
rnacentral:rRNA from 1 species